rnacentral:tRNA from 2 species
GUCCCCUUCGUCUAGAGGCCCAGUGACACCGCCCUUUCACGGCGGUAACAGGGGUUCGAAUCCCCUAGGGGACGCCA